GGCCGCGUGGCGUAAUGGAUAACGCGUCUGACUUCGGAUCAGAAGAUUGC
rnacentral:tRNA from 1 species